GUGGGCAACCGCUUGGGUGGGGAGCAGGAACAGGGGGGCAGGGGAGGGAGCAGGAGGAGGAGGAGGAGGAGGAGGAGGAAGGGAAGAAGAGGAGCAGAGGAGCAGGAGGCAUCUUCGUAUGUGAUGAGAAGAAGCCCAGAGGAGGAGGAGGAGGAGGAGGAGAAGGCUGCGUGGAGGACUCAGACGCAGUGAUGGUGGUUGGUCCACCUCUCUGGGUCUCGCUCCCUCGCUCGCUCACUCUCCGCUAGUGGUGGUGGUGGUGGUGGUGGUGAUGGUGGUGGUGAUCAUGGUGACUUGGUGGUGACCUGUGGCUUGCUUCUGGAUCUUGCUUAAUUGUUUAUCUUGCUCAUUAAUCUUCCUAUCUUGCUUGUGUACCUUGUAUUUUUUGCUUAAUUUCAUCACACUCAUCUCGCUUCACUCCAGCCACUGAUAUAUAAGCUUGUGUUGUGUGUGGUGAGUCAAGCUUGUGUUAUUAUGAGUCAAGUUUGUGUUGUGUGUGGUGAGUCAAGCUUGUGUUGUGUGUGGUGAGUCAAGCUUGUGUUGUGUGUGGUGAGUCAAGCUUGUGUUGUGUGUGGUGAGUCAAGCUUGUGUUGUGUGUGGUGAGUCAAGCUUGUGUUGUGUGUGGUGAGUCAAGCUUGUGUUGUGUGUGGUGAGUCAAGUUUGUGUUGUGUGUGGUGAGUCAAGCUUGUGUUGUGUGUGGUGAGUCAAGCUUGUGUUGUGUGUGGUGAGUCAAGCUUGUGUUGUGUGUGGUGAGUCAAGCUUGUGUUGUGUGUGGUGAGUCAAGUUUGUGUUGUGUGUGGUGAGUCAAGCUUGUGUUGUGUGUGGUGAGUCAAGUUUGUGUUGUGUGUGGUGAGUCAAGUUUGUGUUGUGUGUGGUGAGUCAAGCUUGUGUUGUGUGUGGUGAGUCAAGCUUGUGUUAUUAUGAGUCAAGUUUGUGUUGUGUGUGGUGAGUCAAGCUUGUGUUAUUAUGAGUCAAGCUUGUGUUGUGUGUGGUGAGUCAAGCUUGAGAUGUGUGUGGUGAGUCAAGCUUGUGUUGUGUGUGGUGAGUCAAGCUUGUGUUGUGUGUGGUGAGUCAAGCUUGUCUUGUGUGUGGUGAGUCAAGCUUGUGUUGUGUGUGGUGAGUCAAGCUUGAGUUGUGUGUGGUGAAUCAAGCUUGUGUUGUGUGUGGUGAAUCAAGCUUGUGUUGUGUGUGGUGAGUCAAGCUUGAGUUGUGUGGUGAAUCAUGCUUGUGUUGUGUGUGGUGAGUCAAGCUUGUGUUGUGUGUGCUGAAUCAAGCUUGUGUUAUUAUGAGUCAAGCUUGUGUUGUGUGUGGUGAGUCAAGCUUGAGAUGUGUGUGGUGAGUCAAGCUUGUGUUGUGUGUGGUGAGUCAAGCUUGUGUUGCGUGUGGUGAGUCAAGCUUGUGUUGUGUGUGGUGAGUCAAGCUUGUGUUGUGUGUGGUGAGUCAAGCUUGAGUUGUGUGUGGUGAAUCAAGCUUGUGUUGUGUGUGGUGAGUCAAGCUUGUGUUGUGUGUGGUGAGUCAAGCUUGUGUUGUGUGUGGUGAGUCAAGCUUGUGUUGUGUGUGGUGAGUCAAGCUUGUGUUGUGUGUGAUGAGUCAAGCUUGAGUUGUGUGUGGUGAAUCAAGCUUGUGUUGUGUGUGGUGAGUCAAGCUUGAGUUGUGUGUGGUGAAUUAAGCUUGUGUUGUGUGUGGUGAAUCAAGCUUGAGUUGUGUGUGGUGAAUCAAGCUUGUGUUGUGUGUGGUGAGUCAAGCUUGUGUUGUGUGUGGUGAAUCAAGCUUGUGUUGUGUGUGGUGAAUCAAGCUUGAGUUGUGUGUGGUGAAUCAAGCUUGUGUUGUGUGUGGUGAGUCAAGCUUGUGUUGUGUGUGGUGAAUCAAGCUUGUGUUGUGUGGUGAGUCAAGCUUGAGUUGUGUGUGGUGAAUCAAGCUUGUGUUGUGUGUGAUGAGUCAAGCUUGUGUUGUGUGUGGUGAGUCAAGCUUGUGUUGUGUGUGGUGAGUCAAGCUUGUGUUGUGUGUUUUGAGUCAAGCUUGUGUUGUGUGUGGUGAGUCAAGCUUGAGUUGUUUGGGUGAAUUAAGCUUGGGUUGUGUGUGGUGAGUCAAGCUUGUGUUGUGUGUGAUGAGUCAAACUUGUGUGUGGUGAGUCAAGCUUGUGUUGUGUGUGGUGAGUCAAGCUUGUGUUGUGUGUGGUGAGUCAAGCUUGUGUUGUGUGUGAUGAGUCAAACUUGUGUGUGGUGAGUCAAGCUUGAGUUGUGUGUGGUGAAUCAAGCUUGUGUUGUGUGUGGUGAGUCAAGCUUGAGUUGUGUGUGGUGAGUCAAGCUUGUGUUGUGUGUGGUGAGUCAAGCUUGUGUUGUGUGUGGUGAGUCAAGCUUGUGUUGUGUGUGGUGAGUCAAGCUUGUGUUGUGUGUGGUGAGUCAAGCUUGUGUUGUGUGUGAUGAGUCAAGCUUGAGUUGGGUUUGGGUGAAUCAAGCUUGAGUUGGGUUUGGGUGAAUCAAGCUUGGGUGUGGCUGUGGGGGACUCUUCAAGCUGAUAGAUUUCUGGUAUUUUCAAGCUUGUAUUAUGGAGACACUAUCUGGAGCAACCUCAGCUUGAAUUUUAGCUUGACUUGGGUUUGGGUGAGUCAAGCUUGGGUUGUGGCUGGAGGGAUUUUUCAAGCUGAUAUGUUAUUUUUUUAAGCUUGUGUAAUGGAGACAGUAUCUGCAGCAACCUCAGCUUGGAUUUCAGCUUGAGUGGAUGUGGCUGGCAGGUCCUACGCUUGAAAGACAUGACCUAGAUCAACCCCAGCUUGGUUUCAGCUUGAGUCAGGGGUGGAGAUGAAGUUGACCAAGCUGGGAGAGUGAGUGAGUGAUAGUGAGCUCACUGGAGGUAGUGUGUGGUGUUGAGUUCACUAUCACCACCACCCUCACCAUCUUCUCACUAUUCCUGGGGUGACAGUGAAGCUUAUCUGGUGGUGCUGUGUGGUGUAUCCUGCCUUGCUCACCAUAACCUCACCAUCUUUUGUGUUUUAUGAUCUUGUUUCACUAUUCCUGGGGUGACGGUGAAGCUUAUCUGGAGGUGCUGUGUGGUGUCCCCUUCCUUGCUCACCAUAACCUCACCAUCUUUUGUGUUUUAUGAUCUUGUUUCACUAUUCCUGGGGUGACGGUGAAGCUUAUCUGGAGAUGCUGUGUGGUGUCCCCUUCCUUGCUCACCAUAACCUCACCAUCUUUUGUGUUUUAUGAUCCUGUUUCACUAUUCUUGGGGUGAUAGUGAAAGGUAUCUGGACGUAUAGUGAUGGUGAAAUGUAUCUUGGAGGUUAUGUAGUGUUAGC